rnacentral:rRNA from 1 species
UAGGGAAUAUUAGUAAUGGGCGAAAGCCUGAACUAGCAACACCGCGUGUGCGAAGAAGGCCUUCGGGUUGUAAAGCACUUUUUGAGAGGAUGAGGAAGGACGGUACUCUCAGAAUAAGUCUCGGCUAACUACGUGCCAGCAGCCGCGGUAACACGUAGGAGGCAAACGUUAUCCGGAUUUACUGGGCGUAAAGCGCGUGUAGGUGGUUUGGUAAGUAGAGCGUGAAAGCUCCUGGCUCAACUGGGAGAGGUCGUUCUAAACUGCCGGACUAGAGGAUGGUAGAGGGAGGUGGAAUUCCAGGUGUAGCGGUGGAAUGCGCAGAUAUCUGGAGGAACACCGGUGGCGAAGGCGGCCUCCUGGACCAUUCCUGACACUCAGACGCGAAAGCUAGGGUAGCAAACG